UUGCACGCUGGCGGCAGGCCUCACCCAUGCAAGUCGCGCGGAUGAAGGGAGCUUGCUCCUGGAUUCAGCGGCGGACGGGUGAGUAAUGCCUAGGAAUCUGCCUGGUAGUGGGGGAUAACGUCCGGAAACGGGCGCUAAUACCGCAUACGUCCUGAGGGAGAAAGUGGGGGAUCUUCGGACCUCACGCUAUCAGAUGAGCCUAGGUCGGAUUAGCUAGUUGGUGGGGUAAAGGCCUACCAAGGCGACGAUCCGUAACUGGUCUGAGAGGAUGAUCAGUCACACUGGAACUGAGACACGGUCCAGACUCCUACGGGAGGCAGCAGUGGGGAAUAUUGGACAAUGGGCGAAAGCCUGAUCCAGCCAUGCCGCGUGUGUGAAGAAGGUCUUCGGAUUGUAAAGCACUUUAAGUUGGGAGGAAGGGCAGUAAGUUAAUACCUUGCUGUUUUGACGUUACCAACAGAAUAAGCACCGGCUAACUUCGU
rnacentral:rRNA from 1 species